UCAUUUUAUUUUUUGAGUAUUCAUGGCUUCUCAAGAUGAUGAAAAUGUUAGGCCAGAUUCUGAUCAAGAGAAUGAGUUUGAACGAGCAAUUGAAAAACUUAAAAAAAUAUCUAGUAAGAUGCCAGAUCCAAAAGAUCGAUCAUAUAAUAGAGCAGCUAAGUGACGAGCAAGAGCUUGACCUUUCUCAAAUCAAAAUUUGAUUUGACAACAAAAGAUGCCACAUCCAGAUUCUUAUUGUAAAAUUUUGAUGGCCGCUUAAAAAUGUAACGACCCAUUUCAUCGUUACUAAAUUAUUCAUAAUAAAUUCAUGAAAACUCUUAAUUUUUAUUUCUCAA